UUAACUCAAAUUUGUAUGGAGUUGGAACGUUUGCCUACGUUUGCCGCUAGGGGCGCUGUUCCAACUGCAUAUAAAUUUGAGUUA
rnacentral:pre_miRNA from 1 species